rnacentral:rRNA from 1 species
ACAGAGAUGGCUACCGUUGUUCGGAAUCACUGGGCUUAAAGGGCGUGUAGGCGGAGCGAUAAGUUGGUAGUGAAAUUUCCUGGCUCACCCAGGGAACGGCUACCAAGACUGUUGCUCUUGAGUGCGGUAGGGGGGAGUGGAACUCCUGGUGGAGCGGUGAAAUGCGUUGAUAUCAGGAGGAACGCCGGAGGCGAAAGCGACUCUCUGGACCGCUACUGACGCUGAGGCGCGAAAGCUAGGGGAGCAAACGG